AUCAUCCUAAAUUGCGCUAAAUAAAUAUUUGCAUCUACUCCUCCCAAUAAUUUUGUGUGUUCUGUCAGAAACGCCCAUAUUUCAUAUUCAUAAAGGCAAACAUGCUAAAUGAGUUGGACGAGUUAUUUUGACCAUUUGAGAGAUGCGACCGCCAGUGCAUCCUGUUAGUAGAUAAACCUUUAACGAUGUUUUUGUG